AGGUAGAAUCGUUGAUUACCUGGAUUCUCCUCAUCUUUUUAAUGAUUCAACUACUCAAAUCAUCGCUUUCGAAUUGAAUUCCAACUUGAUAAGGUGAUUAUGCUUCUCCGACUUCUCUGUGUUUCUUUGCUUCUGCUUCUGCUCAAUUUCAUCCUCCAAGACAAAAUUAUUCCUGAUGGUUAUCUUUCUCUUUUCAGUCC
rnacentral:lncRNA from 1 species